GGAUGUGAGGGUGACCUGGCUGUGACAUCUGUCACCCCAUUGAUCACUGGGGUUGACUGGCUGAUCUGGCUGGCGAGGCUGGUGUCCCCCCUUUCUCCCUCACUGCUCCAUGUGUGUCCCUCUUGAAGCUGUGCGCUUGGUCGAAGAGGACGACCUUCUCCGAGUAGAGGAAGACCGGUCUUCGGUCAAGGGUCUAUGAGUAGCUGCGCUCCCCUGCUAGAACCUCCAAACAAGUUCAUUUCUAUUUAUACUUUAACAAAUCUAACCUCUAUCUCAGAGCUUUAUGUGGAGAGCACUUGUGAAGUAAAUAAUGGUCCUUGGUGAAGCUUAAAGUGGCAAGAUGGGCACCAAG
rnacentral:snRNA from 1 species